CGGAGAGGUCGAGUGAUGG
rnacentral:siRNA from 1 species